GGGUAUUUGAGUUUCUGUGAUGUGCUUAGUUCACUUAGCAGCAAGUCAGAAUCAUCUCCUUGUCUAAACCUGGACAACACCCCACUAUACACAGAUGCCCCAUGUUCUUCAUCCACUCCUCUGUCUGUGGACACGUUGGCUGCUUCUACCUCUUGACUCUUGAGAAUUACACAGCAGUGUACGGGGAUGCUCAUAAACUGCCUCCAAUUCUUAUGGAUAUAAAAUCUGAACUGAGUUUGUGCGAUCACAUGGUAAGUCUAUUUCUUGAUUUGGGGGGAACUCUUCACUGUGUGCUACAGCAAAUGUGCCAUUUUACAUUUUGUCCAACCAUGUGCCAGUGUUCCAAUAUCUCCAUAUCCUUGCCAGCAUAAGCUGUUUUAUGCUUUUCGGUUUUUGGAUGCUUUGGUUAUUGUUGUUGAUUGUGACCACCCUAAUGGCUGCGACAUGAUAUCUCCUUGCUGUUUCAUUUGCUUUCUGUAAUAUUAGUGGUGUUGAGCAUUUUCUCAUCAGCUUGGUGGCCAUUGUAUAUCUUUGGAGACAUGUGUAUUCAAGAUUUUUGCCCAUUUGUUAAUUGGGUAGUUUGUUUUCUUGUUGUUGUUGAAUUUUAGAAUUUCUUUACAUACUUUAGAUGUAUCAGUUAAUUCCCUAACUGAUACACAAUUCGCAAAUACUUUCCCAAUUGUGUAGUUUCCCUUUUCCCUCAGUUGAGUGUUUCUUCUGGGGCCAAUAGUUAGUAAGCUUGAAAUGGCACCACUUGUCUAUUUGGCUUUUGUUGCCUGUGCUUUUGGUGUCAUGUCCAAGACCUCACUGCCAAAUCUAAUGUCAUCGAACGUUUCUCCUGUUUUCCUGUCUCAACGUCAUAGUGUUAGGUCUUCUGUUGAGAUCAGUUAUCUAUUUCCAGUGAAUUUUUGUGUAUGGUAGAAAGGAAGGGUCCUGUUUUCUUCUUUUGUGUGUGGAUAUCCAGUCUUCAGAAGAAGUUUCUUUGAAAAGACUGUCCUGGGGCGCCUGGGUGGCGCAGUCGGUUGAGCGUCCGACUUCAGCCAGGUCACGAUCUCACGGUCCGUGAGUUUGAGCCCCGCGUCAGGCUCUGGGCUGAUGGCUCGGAGCCUGGAGCCUGUUUCCGAUUCUGUGUCUCCCUCUCUCUCUGCCCCUCCCCCGUUCAUGCUCUGUCUCUGUCUGUCCCAAAAAUAAAUAAAAACGUUGAAAAAAAAAAUUUAAAAAAAAAAAAGAAAAGACUGUCCUUUCUCCAUUGGGUGGGAUUGGCCCCUGUCAAAGAUCGUUUGGUCAUCUGUGGGAGGGUUUAUUUGGGGGCUCUCUGUUCUGUUCCUUUGGUCUACAUGUGUGUUUCUAUGGAGGUUUUGUUUCCUGUAGUUCAGAAAUAUGUUUUGAAAUUGGGAUGUGAAGCCUCCUGCUUCUCUUUUUCUAGAUUGUUCUGGCUCCUUGGGGUCCGUGGAGAUACCAUAUGAAUUGAAGGAUGAUUUUCUUCUACUUCCUGCCAAAAAUUCCAUUGAGAUUUUAAUGUGGAUAGCAUUGACUCUGUAGAUCACUUUGGGGGGUAGGGACAUUUUACCAAUAUGAAGUCUUCUGACAUAUGGUUCUGUUCCUGAUCAGGAUGGAUUUUCAAAGAAGCAGUUGCUCUAGUCCCUGCUCCUUCAGUCUCCCCAAACUCAACCCUCUGAAGGAUUCACUCACCUCUCCCACCCCACUCAGGGACUGUCUGAGCUGAUGAGAGGACAGGGUUUCCAAAGCUUCAGGUCUGGAGAUUGUGUGAGGACAUUGAAUAAGCCAGACUUUUUCUCAACUCCUUCCAAGUUUUUCUUCUCUCCGGUUUAACUAUUAAUCCAUGGGUAUCUCUUAUUCUGUAGUUGUCAUCUCUUUUCUUCUGUCACCAACUGUGCAUCACUGGUAUGUCACUAAUUCAGUUCAAUAUCUCUAGAAAUGGUAAACAUCUGCUAAGGAAACUGGGGGAUUUAGAUGGGUAUUUCCAGCAACAUGGGAACCCCAACCUGGCUCAUCUAAGAUUACUCCCUUCUCAUCAUGCAACUAACCCUUAUUCAUCCUUUUUUUAUACCUAAGAUUUUCCCUUCAGCUUUCCUGAAUCCUUUGAUUGUCCCCCAUCAACACCCCUUUAUCACUAACUGGCAAACUUCUGCUUUCCUUCUGAACUCUCAACUUCCUACUCACUAGGGCAUUAAGUCUUAACCCCUUCCUUUGUCUUCCUCUUGACCCUUGAGCAUUUGGGGAUAAAAUCGUGUAAAGCAGGGUAGGGAGUCUGUGUGUGAAACAUGAUUCAUGAUUAAGAUGGCAUAGACUUGUCAGGGCAGGAGUGUCCAGGGGCGUGAGGAGUCUAGGUGGAGGCUGACCCACCUGCUGUGGGGAGAGCAGCUAGAACCUGAAGGAUGAGGUGGGAGAGCCAUUCUUGCAGCCUUAGGGGUCAGUGUGAGAGGUGGGGAGGGGGGUUGGUGGAAAUGUGAAGAUUCUUAAAGACUCAGAGAAGCAUCCUGACACUGGGCACAAAACACUUGAUUCAGGGGGCCCAUUUUGGAGUAGACAGUCAUAAGGAUGGACACAAACCUCCAGAAGCUGGAUGGAGAGAUGUUUGUAUCUCUCAAGGGAGUUAGAUGCACACAAAGAGCUCCCAGGACACAGCAGCAUGUGGGCUAGGAUGGGAUACUAGGGAUAUGGGACAGACCACAGGACAUGCCAGCUGGUGGGGGUUCAGAGUCUGGAGAGUGUGGAGGGAUUGGACGGCACCAGGACCCCAUGGAGGCAGUGGCUUGACUGCCAGUAGCCUGGCAGAAGGGUGGAGGCUGAAUGCCUAUGAAUUAAAGAAAAAGCAAUUACUCUGAGAAGACUUUAUUUCCUCACUCAUUAUGUCUUGUACUAUGUUUGCCUGAAGACAGUUUCCAAGAUCUUCAGGUAACUUAAAAUAUUACCCUUCUGCUAAGUUAAGCUAAUUAUAGAUAUUCAUUAAAUACCUAAAUGAUUUCCAAAUGGGCUGAAACAAAGCAUAAUCACACCGUUAUGAAUAUAUUGCUUCUCUUAAUGAACAUGUCCCAUUUGCCGUGUUGUAGCAAAAGGGAUGUAUAUGUAUACAAAGGUUGGGGAGAACCCUCUUCACAACGUCUGAUAUCCUAUUCUGGUUUUGACAGUCCUUGGUUAUCCAACACUCAAAUUAUCCCUGUGAAAUAGAAGUUUCUGUAGGAAAGAUAAUAAUCCUUCCACAUGAAUGAGCCUCUGGUAGGAAAAAUCAGGGAGCAGAAAAACAACUUUGGGAGCAAAGUAUGCACUUUAUGAGCACAGUUUGUCCCCGUGUAAAAAGGCAUGCAUUGCAGCAUAGGACGGAUGAAAGUGUAGGACAGAGCCCGAAUGCACAUAGAGAGUGUGGCAAAAGGUUCAGGGUCAGGGAGUUUUAUUUGUCCUGGUUCUCUCAGGCUGAGAUUACCUGGGUUCAUGUAUAAGAGCUUUUUAUUUAUUUUAUUUUUUUUUUAAUUUUUUUUUUCAACGUUUAUUUAUUUUUUUUGGGACAGAGAGAGACAGAGCAUGAACGGGGGAGGGGCAGAGAGAGAGGGAGACACAGAAUCGGAAACAGGCUCCAGGCUCUGAGCCAUCAGCCCAGAGCCCGACGCGGGGCUCGAACUCACGGACCGCGAGAUCGUGACCUGGCUGAAGUCGGACGCUNNNNNNNNNNNNNNNNNNNNNNNNNNNNNNNNNNNNNNNNNNNNNNNNNNNNNNNNNNNNNNNNNNNNNNNNNNNNNNNNNNNNNNNNNNNNNNNNNNNNNNNNNNNNNNNNNNNNNNNNNNNNNNNNNNNNNNNNNNNNNNNNNNNNNNNUUUUUUUUUUUUUUUUUUUUUUUUUUUUUUUUGUUACAAAGACACAAGUUUUGUUGGAUGUUCGGUCUGCUUUUUUUUUUUUUUUAAUUUUUUUUUUUUAACGUUUAUUUAUUUUUGAGACAGAGAGAGACAGAGCAUGAACGGGGGAGGGGCAGAGAGAGAGGGAGACACAGAAUUGGAAGCAGGCUCCAGGCUCUGAGCCAUCAGCCCAGAGCCCGACGCGGGGCUCGAACUCACGGACCGUGAGAUCGUGACCUGAGCUGAAGUCAGACGCUUAACCGACUGAGCCACCCAGGCGCCCCCGGUCUGCUUUUAAUAAGAGGGUGUAAAAGGAAAAGAUUCUCCUCUUCUGAAUAACCUGCAGACAGCCAAAGAACGAAUCAGAAGGAGCAAAGGUGUUUCUGAUCAUGGGAAGCAAUGGGAUCCUUGCACAGGGCUGGGAGCAUGAGGAGGUACAAGUGGGGUGACGGCAUUGUACCAUAAUCACGUUCCCGGGGCUGCAACAAGGUGACCUUUUUAAAGAUUUCUUUUUUUUUCUUUUUAAUAUGAAGAGAGAAUUUCUGGAGUUCUUUUAGUACUGUGUUAGAGCAAAUAAUUGGCCCCCAAAACAUCAUGAAUUUUAUCCCUGGAUCCUGUGAAUGUCAUAUUCCCUGGCAAAGACACUGCCCGUGUGAUGGAGUUAGAGAUCGUGAGAUGGAAAGAUUAUUCUGGACUGUCCGGGUGGUCGCUCUAUGUACUCUCAAGUGUUGAGAGGGAGAGUGUGAGAGUGAGAGAGAGAGAAAGAGAGAGAGAGAAGGGAGAUUGGCCUAGGGAGAAAAACAGUAAAUGUGAGGAUAAAGCAGGGGAGAGAAGGUGGGUGAGAUGGGGAAACAGGACCCAGAAUGAGGAAAGCCUCCCAAAGCUACAAAAGAGAAGAAAACACAUUCUUCCCAAGAGUCUCAGGAGGGUACACAUAAGUACAGAUGCCUCCAUUUGGGUAGAGUGAAGUCCAUUUGGGGAUUGUAGUUUCCAGGACUGUUAAAAAAUUUAUAAACAGGUUGGAUGUUCAAUGGAGAUGACAUUGAAGACAAAACACUCAAGUUGGGGGAGCUCCUGGUCAAGUGGGGAGUCAUUAAGCUGUAUAAGCCAAGAGAACUGCAGACAGAGACUCAGGGGCUCAGGAGCUCAAGGCUUGUCAGAGGGGGCCCAGAUGAAGGAGGAACGGGCAGGAGGUGGAGGUGUGGGGGAGGUUAGAGUCCAGUGGGGGAGCAGAGUCCAGAAAGGCAGGAGGGAUUGCAGGGUGCAGGGAUCACACAGAGACCAGAGGUGAUUGCAGGGAGGAAGGGGGUUUCUGGUCUGGUUGCCUGGCUCUGGGGAUGGGGGUGGGGAGGGCACAGGGUCGAGGGAUCCUGCUUUGGAUAGGGAGGGCCAGGGUUUCCCAAGGUCCAGAUCAGACCAGGAUGAGAUGCCUUUAUCUGGCAUUCAAACCAGUUUCAGCAUUGCUCAGGAUUGUUCUAGAAAAGUAAAAUGUCCGCUUCCUUCCCUGAGGAACCUUCACCUCAUCAACUCAUUAUCAAGGUCCUCCAGGAGAAUUUUGUGUAACUGAAAGGCAUGGGGUGACUAGUUUGCAGGUCACAGGGAGGACAGGAGAGGGUCAGGAAGGGGACUGAGGCCAGGUGACUUGACAGUGGUCAGAGCCUGGAUGCAAUGGAGAAAAGGGGGAAGAAUCUGCAGUGCCCUGGAUGACUGGGGGUCCAAUUGAAAGGGGAGGGGGCAACACUCUAGGGUUCAGAGCAUUGAGCAGCCAGUUUUAUUCUUUCGUUCAUACAAGGGCCUUUCUACCAGCAUUUGCUUUUAAAACUCUCAACCAAAGAGCCCACAGAAUUUCUGUGUUUGUCACCAAGGGCAGCUUGGAAGUGAAACCAGUCUUGGGAUUCCCAAAGUGUGCAUGAAAUCACCGCACAAAGGCUUUGACCAUCAGGAGUGGGGAGGAGCAGCUUUCACAGCUGCCAGACAGGUUGCAGAGCAUAUUUGAAGACCACUGGGUGGGGGUCUCCAAGGGAGCAGAGCGGCUCCUCGGGACAGCCCAGUCCCCUGUCUGGUUGUUGGUGAGGGACCUGGGAUCAUGAGGGCUGAGUUGGAGGCUGCUAUUUCCAAGCUCUGCUUGGAACGAGAAGCCUGAAGCACCAGAGGAGUGCAGGCUCCACAUCCCCAGGUCAGCCCCAGGACUUCCCGGGUUCCCCAGGGAGGGUUGUUCCCCUCAUACCCUUUCCCCCUCCAUGAGGUCUCAACUGACCAGAGUGGGGAGGUCUGGGAGCCUUCUGAGUUUCACCACCACCUCCCCACUUCAACUUGAGUCCCCUGCAACAUGAGUUUUGGGGGCCCCGCUCUUUCCUCCAGCUCAGACUUCAAUGCAGCUGGCUCUCCUCUGGCCAGUUUUGGGUACAUGCCCUGCAACUGGCUAAGGCGCCUUCAGCCAACUGCUGGUUUGUACUUCUCUCACCUUGAACUUCUCCUGGGGAGAUGAGACAUGCCAAAGCCCCCUUGGGAUCCUUAGCCCCAGAGUUUCAGCCUUGGGAACCGUCCUCCACCCCCAUCCUUCCCUCAGCAAAUCUCACCCAAGCUGCAGAUCCCCUCUCCCUUUCCAUCCCACCCCAUCCCACAGAGCUGUCUUUGUCAUCACAAUCACUGAGAUUUUUCCCUACCUCCUCCUUGGGUUGUGGCCACAGACCCUGCGCCACACAGGAGAAAGAGGUCAGCUUAGAACCAGGUAGUAAGUUUCCAGAUACUCCUCUUGUUGAUAAUAAGUUUAUUUGGUCAGUCGUGUCGAACAAAAGAAACUGAGGGUGCAAAAAGCAAAACAAAUAUUCACUUCAAGUAUUUGGACACAGAUUUUAGAGGAACUGGAAAUUUUCUCUGAGGCAGGUGGAGAAAGAGUUGAUAAAGGUAACCGCCCCCCACCCCCCAGCCUGUAGAAGUUCUUCUGAAAGAGAUCUGAAUGACACAGCAUAAACAAUGAAUUUUAAUAUUUGUAGGUUAAAUUUAUUUUUGUAAAUUAAAUUUAAUAUUUGUAGAUUAAGAUUUGUAGCAACUACUAUCCUGGUACUAGCUGGAUGGAAUUCCGCAAAGCAAGCUCUCUUCUGAGAAUGGCGGCCAGAUGUAGCCCUUUUUGAUUGGCACAGGCUGGUCAUGUGACAUCCAGAUGUGGGCGGGCAUAGGCCCAACUUCAGCGGUGAUCUCCCGGCUCCAUGUUGGAUCUCCUUAACAUUGUGAUUCCAUUUCCUUGUUUCAGUUCACAGUUGUGUUGUGAGCCAGUGUUCUUUGUGAGUCCGGUAUAAGGGGCCAGAUGACAACUCACGGAGAGAGCUGAGCACACAUACAAGCUCCACUGGAUGUAGAUAAGCUAGGAAGUUAUUAUCUUCUUCUCUAGAUAACAAGUAUUUCCCCAGAGAGCUCAGAUUGCAUAGCUGUAACAGUAGCUAAACCACAACCACAGCUGUGGGUUUAGAAAACAUCUUGCGUCGAAAGCAAUAUGGCAUAUUUAGCAAGAACCUUCCAACAUUCAGCUUGCAGACACGGGAAGCAAGAUUGCGCAGGGCAUAAGUAAGGAUAGUCUUCAACAGAAAAUGGCACAGCAUGUUUGACCAACCUGUGUCGUUGCACUGGUUCUCCAGAAAUGGCACGGGCAACUCCAGGAUAUACAUUCUUAUGUUGUUCAGGACAAAGGUGGCUACAACGUUCGCAAUUAAUUCCAUGACGCGAAGUUGAUACUAAACGUGACUGAAUUGCUAUAGGACAGAAGGAGUGUGCUCUUCUCUGUUUCGUUCCCAAAAUUUUGUCUCGCAUAGAGAUCCAGCCUUUUAUAAUUACUGGAAUGAGUCAUUCUCUGACGUCACACUCUUAACGAAAGAGGGGCUCCUGGCCAAUGAGAUUGUAACAUGUGUCUCAGCAGCCAGUACCUUUGUGCGGUAUAAAAGAACCAUUUCUCACAACAGAAGGCACGUGUCAGACGCUACCUUGCAAUCUGCAUACCAGCAGAGUUACCGAGAGGCCUAAAUCUGAUUCUUGGUGCUCCAGAUCUUCUGUAAAGGAGUAGCUCUGUUUAUGUUUUCAGGAACCUUGCAGUUCUCCAAUGUUCCAAUGGAGCUCCCUCUCCUCUAGCCUAGGGAAUGUGUAUGGGAGGAAAUUAAUGCAAUGGUGCAAUUUUCUGGCCCCUUUCAAGAUUUCCUGACAGUGUGUUCAUCCCAGGGACCACUGUCAUCUUCCUUCAUCCUGCCCUGCUGACCACAUGCUUCGCUGUACUGCCCUUGCUUCAGUCAGUAGCUUCAGAAAUGGCCAGGUUUUCUGAGAUACCCCUGGGAAUUUUAAUGGCUACAUGGGGCACCUUGGGAAUUGCAAGCAGGCUCCUUUGAAACCCCCUCCUCUGCCACCUUUCUGUUCCUCCUUCCUCCUGUUUUGCCCUUUGACUUUCCCUUCAGUCCCUUGGAUCCCUUUUUUUUUUUUUUAAUUCUUUUUUUUAUUUAAAAAAUUUAAAUUAUUUUUCUGUUUUAUUUUGAGAGAGAGAGAGAGAGAGUGAGAGAGCAAGGGGGUAGGGGCAGAGAGAGUGGGAGACAGAAUCUCAAGCAGGCUCUGCGCUGUCAAUGCAGAGCCAGUUGGGCUCAAACUCACUGUGAGAUCAUGACCUGAGGCAAAACCAAGAGUUGGACGCUUAACGGACUGAGCCACCCAGGUUCCCAUCCCUUGGAUCCUUAGAUGUGUCCCCCUUCAACACCUUCACCUCCUCUAGCCCUCUGUCUACACCUCUGAGACCUUCCCCUUCCCACUAGGACUCCUCUGCUGUGACAGUCUCUGGGGCUUCGUUGUGCUGCCCCCAUCAUGGUCAUUCAAGGGACUCAAGGACCCCACCUGAGGCUGUGCAGCUCCACGAAGUGGGCUGGAUAUUAUGUCCCUGGGACAGGUUAUGGAGACACUCAGAUGGCUGGCUGCUUGGUUUGUCCUCAGUCUCUUCCUGCAGUUUCAUCCAGAGCCUCCAUUGGCUGACACGUGUGGGCACAGGACAUCUUCUGAGUCCCCUCCACAAAGAUUGAUAGGAGUGCUUCAGGCCUCUUCUUGAGCAGGUGACCUCAACUUGCCCAGUCCCCUGGCACCUGCUCCUGGUCAGGAGGUCAAGGUGAGGAAAGAGUGAGAGCCAGGACUUUCUACUAGGAAGUUGUCUUCGUUGAACAGAUGCUCUAAGCACUCUUGUUGCAUCUGUCUCUCUGAUGAGUGCGUAAGGACCGAGAAAAGGUCAACUGAGGCACAUUCAUAUUUUCAAGAGUUUACCUGAGCAUAUAGAGAUUGGAAUUGGGCAGAGCCAGAGCACAGAUGGCCAGAGGUACUCCAAGAACAGGAGCCAGGCCAAAGGUUUUUCUAAAGAAGAGCUGGAAGCAAAGCAAUGACAUAGUUUGAUUGGCUAUGGCUGGAGCUUUGGUCUUCUUUGGGCAAACCAAGUUGGCCGUCUGUGCUUGGCUUCCCAGUUUUCUCUUCUGGGGUGGGGGUGCUCUGACCCUAGCUCAGGUUUUGGUUUGGUUGUGUAGGCCACCAAGGUGUUAGAGCCACCUCAGUCUGCUGUUGGCUUGUUUAAUUACAUUAGCAGAGUGUAUGUGUCCUAUGUGUAAUAUGUGCCCUCCUUUGCCUGGUGGUACUAGAUGAGUCCCUACAAUUCCUGAGAGUCUCUAUUGUAAAGGCUAUAGAGAAAAAUAAGUGAAUAUUUGUAAAAAUGUCCUUAGGUGGGGGCGCCUGGGUGGCGCAGUCGGCUAAGCGUCCGACUUCAGCCAGGUCAUGAUCUCGCGGUCCGUGAGUUCGAGCCCCGCGUCAGGCUCUGGGCUGAUGGCUCAGAGCCUGGAGCCUGUUUCCGAUUCUGUGUCUCCCUCUCUCUCUGCCCCUCCCCUGUUCAUGCUCUGUCUCUCUCUGUCCCAAAAAUAAAUAAAAAACGUUGAAAAAAAACUUAAAAAAAAAAAUGUCCUUAGGUGAAGGAAAGUGAAUGAAUUCUGACAAAACAUUAUUUCAAUAGCAAUGGUAUCUUGUCAUAUGUCAAUGUGAAAAUGAUCUGUAUCUCUUGGUAGUUUAUAGACUUGUACUAUGCCAAGUUAAGUGAAAUACUGACCAGUCUGUAAAUACCUAGAUGAAUCCUAAGUAAGUGAGCACACUAAAUAUUAGUCACCACAAACAGUUUUCAGGCUACAAGCACUUUUGUGCCUGUUAAUCUGUUAAUGAAUGUGUUCAUUUUUGCCAAACUGAGAAUUACUAAAAGGACUUCUUUGCUUAUAAGUAUGUGUGGUAUGUCUGUCCAUGUGGUAUGCUUCAAAAUGCUGGGCAUUUGAACAUGGUCCAUGUUCUUUUUUUUUUUUUUUUGCAAAAAAUAAAUUUAAUCAUGCGAUGUUUAAAUUAAAUGGAAUGUCUGAUUGGAUGGGGGCCUCCAAAUGUGGGGAGAUGAUUGGGUGGAAGCCAAUAACCCGGGUGGUAACAGAAUUCAUUCAAGGUGAAAGAAAAGAGAUAGAAGUUUACUGAAUAUACUGCAAGGGAUUGGUGGGCAGGAUAGUGGAGGAGAGGCUGUUUGCAAGGAGGCACUGGGUGGGGGCCAUAUUUAAAGCAGGAAGGUGAGGAGGUAUGGGACAUAUGGAAUUUUCCCUUUCUUCGUAACUGUGCCUGGCUGUAAGUAGCCCAUUGGUCAGUUAGGGCUUAUGAUUGUUUUGAGGUGGGUCACCCAAUAGGCCUGUUUGUAUUUAGCCAGGGGGGUCACUGUGGGCCCUUUCUGCAGUCCAUCGCGCAAACCUGUUUUCCUAAAAGUGCCUCUACAAAUCAUAUUUGCCAGUUACACUACCAGGAAUACACAGUAAAAAAAAAAAAAAAUACACGGAAGCGGGGGCAGAUACUUACAAUGGGGCAAAACCCCAAGUGAAACAGAAACAUGACUUGAAAAUUCUACUAUACAUUAUUUGGGCAUGGCAACUACUGAAAACUUUGUCUUUUGAUGAUGAUCUUGCUGACACUAAUAGUUUCACCUUUGUCGAUGAUUGUGAUUCUGAUGAUGAUGACAACAGGGAUAUUCUAAGAGCAUUUUAAAGAGCUUUCUUCUGGGGCGCCUGGGUGGCUCGGUUAAGCAGCCAAUUUCAGCUCAAGUCAUGAUCUUGCGCUCAUGAGUUCGAGCGCUGCAUUGGGCUCCGUGCUGACAGCUCAGAGCCUGGAGCCUGCUUUGGAUUCUGUGUCUCCCUCUCUCUCCAACCCUUCCAUGCCCAUUCUCUGUCUCUCUCUCUCUCUCCCCAAAAUAAAUAAUAAACAUUAUAAAAAUUUUGAAGAGCUUUCUUCUGUCAUCUUCAUAGUAUAUACAGGUAGCAUGGUAUAUAUCCACUUAUGUGCUACUUUCUUUUCACUGAGCUUUCGUGAAGUUGCAGAAAUGACACUGCCUGAAUGACAGGCAGGAUUCAGGGGUCUACUCGUUAUCUGCCAAAACCGUGUGUGGCUUAGGCACAGUCAUCUGUCUUUCAGAUUCUUUUUUGUCCUACAGGAAAAUAAGAUAUUGCAACAGAGGUUACUUUUUUUGUCCUUUUCAGGUCUAUUAGAAAAUUUAUGCAGAAUGACUGCACAGUAAGAUCUGUACUAUAUGAAUCCAAGGAAAUGCUUAUUCUGACUAAAAUAUUUCCUCAAAUCUGAUCUAUGCUCUUUGUGAAACUCCCAACAGUACCAUGUCUCAUGCACAGAGUCAACAGGCCUCUUCACUGCAUUGCUGAAUAUUUUCAAGAUGAAAAGCUUGUUGAAUCCAAAACAGUGAAAGUAGUAAUGUGAAAGUAAAGUGAAAAGCAACAUAGGUCUUUGAGGGAGAAAUCAGUGCUCGUGGUGUUGGCUUUAAUGAUGUGGAGAAUAAAGGCAAAAAGAAAUGUAGAUAAAAUUAGAUUUCCUUACAGCUCACAGCCCUCUAACAAGUCCCUGGGACAGACAGAGUGACUUUCCUGGAGGAACUCAGCUACCUUGCCGUCAACACUUUGCUCAGGGCAAAAGGAAACCUCAGCUUGACAUUGUCCCGACCCCCCAGGAUCCUGUGAAUCUACUCUAAACAUAUAGAAAUUCCUUUGGAAACUUGCUUUAUCUUUCCUCCCCAAAAUAUAUGUUAGCAAUCAUCCUCCAAGCAUAUGGCCCCCUGAUAUACAUCCGAAGGGUUUCAUGACUAAGGGUUUACUAGACAGCAGUAAAUGACCUUUUCCUAACAGCAGCUAGCCCCUCAAGGUCCUGGAAACCUGGCUUGAAAAAUUCCUUAGAGACUUAUACUAUCCCUAACCCCCUCCCAACCUGAAGGUAUGUAAUCAGUCACUCGUCACACUCCAAGUGCAACUCUCUUUUUUGCCCCUGGGUCCUGUCCCUGUGCUUUUUUUGUUUUUAAUUUAAGUUAGUGAAUAGUGUAGUCUUGGCUUCAGGAGUAGAACUCAGUGAUUUAUCUCUUAUAUACAUUUGUGCUCAUCCCAAAAAGUGCCCUUCUUAAUGCCCAUCACCAAUUUAACCCAUCCCCACACCAACCCCCCUUCCAGAAACCCUCAGUUUGUUCUCUGUAUUUAAGAGUCUCUUAUGGUUUGCCUCUCUGUUUUUAUCUUAUUUUUCUUUCCUUCCUGUAUGUUCAUCUGUUGAGCUUCUCAAAUUCCACAGGAGUGAAAUCAUAUGAUACCUUUCUCUGACUGACUUAUUUUGCUUAGCAUAAUACCCUCUAGUUCCAUCCACCUUGUUACAAAUGGCAAGAUUUCAUUCUUUUUCAUCACCAAGUAGUAUUCCAUUGUGUACAUAUUUGCGACAUUUUCUUUAUCCGUUCAUCAGUUGAUGGACAUUUGGGCCCUUCCCAUAACUUGGCUUUUGUUGAUGGAGGUUGCUAUGAACAUUGGGGAGCAUGUGCCCCUUCAGAUCAGCAUUUUUGUAUCCUUUGGAUUAAUUCCUAGUAGUGCAACUGCUGGGUUGUAGGAUAGUUCUAUUUUUCAUUUUUUGAGGAACCUCCAUACGGUUUUCCAGAGUGGCUGCAGCAGUUUGCAUUCCCACCAACAGUACAAAAGGGUUCCCCCUUCUCCGCAUCCUCACCAGCAUCUGUUGUUGCCUGAGUUGUUAACUUUAGCCUUUCUGACAGGUGGUAUCUCAAUAUGGUGGUGAUGAGUGAUGUUGAGCAUCUUUUCAUGUGUUGGUUGGCCAUCUGGAGGUCUUCUUUGGAAAAGUGUCUAUUCAUGUCUUCUGCCCAUUUCUUCACUGGAUUAUUUGUUUUUUAGGUGUUGAGUUUGGUGAGUUCUUUAUAGAUUUUGGAUACUAACCUUUUAUCUUAUGUGUCAUUUGCAAAUAUCUUCUCCCAUUAUGUCAGUUGCCUUUUACAUUUGUUGAUUCUUACCUUUGCAGUGCAGAAGUUUUUUAUCUUGAUGAGGUCCCAAUAGUUCAUUUUUGCUUUUCUUUCCCUUGCUUUCAGAGAUGUGUCGAGUAAGAAGUUGCUGUGGCGGAGGUCAAAGUGGUUGCUGCCUGUUUUCUCUUGCAGGAUUUUGAUGGUUUCCUGUCUCCUGUUUAGGUCUUUCAUCCAUUUUGAAUUUAUUUUUGUGUAUGAUGUAAGAAAGUGGUCCAGGUUCAUUUUUCUGCAGGUUGCUGUCCAGUUCUCUCAGUACCAUUUGCUAAAGAGACUGUCUUUUUUUCCGUUGGAUGCCCUUUCCUGCUUUGUGGCAGAUUAAUUGGCCAUAUGUUUGUGGGUCCAUUUCUGGGUUCUCUAUUCUAUUGCAUUGAUCUAUGUGCCUGUUUUUGUGCCAAGACCAUACUGUCUUUGAUGAUUACAGCUUUGUAAUACAGCUUGGAGUCUGGAAUUGUGAUGUCUCCAGCAUUGCUUCUCUUUUUCAACAUUACUUUGGCUAUUCAGGAUCUUUUGCAUUUCCAAACAAAUUGUAAGAUUGUUUGUUCUAGCUCUGUUAAGAAUGCUGGUGUUAUUUUUACAGGCAUUGCUUUGAAUGUGUAGAUUGCUUUGGGUGAUACUGACGUUUUAACAAUAUUUCUUCUUCCAACCCAUGAGCAUGGAAUGUUUUUUUAAUCUUUUUGUGUCUUCUUCAAUUGUUUUCAGAAGCUUUCUAUAGUUUUCAGCAUACAGAUCUUUUACCUUUUUGGUUAGGCUUAUUCCUAGGUAUUUUAUGCUUUUUGGUGCAAUUGUAAAUAGGAUCGAUUCCUUGAUGUCCCUUUCUGCUGCUUCGUUAUUGGUGUAUAGAAAUGCAACUGAUUUCUGUACACUGAUUUUAUAUCCUGGAACUUUGCUGAAUUCAUGAGUCAGCUCUAGCAGUUUUUUGGUAGAGUCUUUAGGGUUUUCCAUGUAGAGCAUCAUGUCAUCUGUGAAGAGUGAAAGUUUGACUUCUCCUUUGCCAAUUUGGAUGCCUUUUAUUUCUUAUUUCUCUUUGUUGUCUGAUUGUGGAAGCUAGGACUUCUAGGACUAUGUUGAACCACCGUGGUGAGAAUGGACAUCCCUGUCGUGUUCCUGAUCUCAGGGGGAAAGCUCUCAGUUUUUCCCCAUUGAGGAUGAUAUUAGCUGUGGGCCUUUCAUAUAUGGCGUUUAUGAUGUUAAGGUAUGUUCCUUCUAUCCCGACUUUCUUGAAAGUUUUUAAUUUUUUAAUGUUUAUUUAUUUUCGAGAGAGAAAGAGAGACAGAGUAUGAGUGUGGGAGGUGCAGAGAGAGAGGAGACACAGAAUCUGAAGCAGACCCCAGGCUCUGAGCUGUCAGCGUAGAGCCUGAUAUGGGGCUGAAACUCAUGAACUGUGAGAUCAUGACCUGAGCUGAAGUCGGAUGCUCAACUGACUGAACCACCCAAGUGCCCCUCUUGAGAGUUUUUAUCAAGAAAGGAUGCUGUAUUUUGUCAAAUGCUUUUUCUGCAUCUAUUGAAAAGAUCAUUUGGCUCUUAUCCUUUCUUCUAUUAAUGUGGUGUAUCACAUUGAUUGAUUUGUGAAUAUUAAACCAGCCUGGCAGCCUAGGAAUGAAUCCACUUGAUCAUGGUGAAUAAUUCUUUUAAUGUACUGCUGAAUUCAGUUUGCUGUUAUCUUGUUGAGAAUUUUUGCAUCCAGGUUCAUCCAGGAUAUGGGCCUGUAAUUCUCCUUUUUAGUGGGGUCCUUGUCAGGUUUUGGAAUCAAGGUAAUGCUGGCUUCAUAGAAUGAGUUUGGAAGAUUUCUUUCUAUUUCUAUUUUUUGGAAUAGUUUGGGAAGAAUAGGUAUUAAUUCUCCUUAAAUGUCUGGUAGAAUUCCCGUGGGAAGCCAUCUGGCCCAGACUCUUAUUUGUUGGGAGAUUUUUGAUUACUAAUUCAAUUUCUUUGCUGGUUAUGGGCCUGUUCAGAUUUUCUGUUUCUUCCUGUUUUAGUUUUGGCAGUGUGUGAGUGUCUAUAAAUUUGUCCAUUUCUUCCAGAUUGUCCAAUUUUGUAAUUUUUCAUAGUAUUCUUUAAUAAUUGUUUGUAUACCUCUGGUGUUGGUUGUGAUCUCUCCUCUUCCAUUAAUGAUUUUGUCUAUUUGGGUCCUCUGUCUUUUCUUUUUGAGAAGUCUGGCUAGGCGUUUAUCAAAUUUAUUUAUUCCUUCAAAAAACAAGUUAUUAGUAUCAUUGAUCUGUUCUAAUGCUUUGUUUUGUUGUUUUGGAUUCUAUAUUGUUUAUUUCUGCUCUAAUCUUUAUUAUUUCCCUUCUCCUGCUGGCUUUGGGCUUUAUUUACUGCUCCUUUUCUAGCUCCUUUAGGUGUAAGGUUGGGUUGUAUAUUUGGGACCUUCUUGCUUCUUCAAUUGCAAUGUAUUUUCCUCUUAGGACUGCCUUUGUUGCAUCUGUAAGUGUUUGGACUGUCAUGUUUUCAUUUUCAUUUGCUUCCAUGUAUUUUUUAGUUUCUUCUUUAAUUUCCUGGUUAACCCUUUUAUUCUUUAGUAGGAUGUUCUUUAACCUCGAUGUAUUUAGGGGCUUUCCAAAUUUUUUCUUGUGGUUAAUUUCAAGUUUCAUAGCAUUGCGGUCUGAAAGUCUGCAUGGUAUGAUCACAAUCUUUUUGUACCUGUUGAGGGCUAUUUUGUGACCCAGUAAGUGAUCUAUUCUGGAACAUGUUCCAUGUGCACUUGAGAAGAAUGUGUAUUCUGCUGCUUUAGGAUGAAAUGUUCUGAAUAUACCUGUUAAGUCCAUCUGGUCCAAUGUGUCUUCAGAGCCAUUGUUUCCUUGUUGAUUUUCUGCUUAGAUAAUCUGUCCAUUUCUGUAAGUAGAGUAUUAAAGUCUCCUACAAUUAAAAUAUUAUUAUCAAUAAAUUUGCUUAGGUUUUUGUUUAAUUGGUUGAUAUAUUUGGGCUACUAAAUACUUACAGUUGUUAGCUCAUCUUAAUUAUGAUAUAAUGCUCUUCUUUAUCUCUUGUUACAGUCUUUGUUUUAAAAUCUAGUUUGUCUGAUAUAGGUAUGGCUACUCUGGCUUUCUUUUGAUGCACAUUAGCAUGAUAGGUGGUUCUCCAUUCCCUCAGUUUCAAUCUGCAGGUGUCCUCAGAUCUAAAAUAAGUCUCUUAUAGGCAGCAUAUAGAUAGAUUUUGCAUUUUUUUUAAAUUUCUUUCAAUGUUGGGGCGCCUGGGUGGCUCAGUCGGUUAAGCGUCCGACUUCAGCCAGGUCACGAUCUCGCAGUCCGUGAGUUCGAGCCCCGCGUCGGGCUCUGGGCUGAUGGCUCAGAGCCUGGAGCCUGUUUCCGAUUCUGUGUCUCCCUCUCUCUCUGCCCCUCCCCCGUUCAUGCUCUGUCUCUCUCUGACCCAAAAAUAAAUAAAAAACGUUGAAAAAAAAUUAAAAAAAAUUUUCUUUUAAUGUUUAUUUUUGAGAGAAAGUGUGAGGGGGGGAGAGGCAGAGAGAGAGAGAGAGAGAGAGAGAGAGAGAGAGAAUAUGAAUCAGGCUCCGAGCUGUCAGCACAGAGCUCAACACAGGGCUUGAACUCAUGAACCAUGAGAUCACAACCCAAGCCAAAGUCAUACACUUAACCUGCUGAGCCACCCAGGCACCCCUUGUUGUUUUUAUAAGUCAAUUCUGAUACUUUAUGACUUUUGUUUGGGGCAUUUAGUCCAUUUACAUUCAGAGUGGUUAUUGAAAGAUAUGAACUUAGUGCCAUUGUGUUAUCUGUAGAAUUCAUGUUUGUGGCAAUGUUCUCUUUGUAGUCUUUGCUGCUUUCCACUCAUAGAGUUCCCUUAGGAUCUCUUGCAGGGAUGGUUUGGUGAUCAUGAACUCCUUUAGUUUUUGUUUGUCUGGGAAAGCCUUUAUCUCUCCUUCUAUUCUCUUCUAGCUUCUAUCUCUUCUUCUAUUCUGAAUGACAGCCUUGCUGGAUAAAGAAUUCUUGGCUGCAUAUUUUUCCUAGUCAGCACACUGAAUAUUUCCUGCCACUCCCUUCUGACCUGUCAAGUUUCAGUGGACAGGUCUGCUACUAACCUUAUGUGUCUACCCUUGUAGGUUAAUGACCUUUUGUACCUAGCUGCUUUCAGAAUUCUCUCUUCAUCUUUGUAUUUUGCCAGUUUCACUAUGACAUGUCAUGGUGUUAACUAGUUUUUACUGAUUUUCAGGGGAGUUCUCUGUGCCUCUUGUACUUAGAUGCCUGUUUCCUUCCUCAGAUUAGGGAGGUUCUCAGCUACAAUUUGUUCAAAUAAACCUUCUGCUCCUUCUUCUUACUCUUUUUCUUUGGGACUCUUGUCAUAUGGAUAUUGUUCCAUUUCAUGGAAUCACUUACCUCUGUAAUUCUCUUCUCAUGAUCUAGUAAUUUAUUUUCCCUCUUUUUUUUCAGCUUCAUUAUUUUACACAAUUCUAUCUUCUAUUUCUCCUCUGCUUCUUUAAUCCCUGCUGUCACUGUAUCUAGUUUAUUUUGCAUCUCAGCUAUAACAUUUUAGAAUUCAUCCUGACUAGUUCUUAGGUCUUUGAUCUCUGCAGCAAGGGUUUUUCUGGUGUCUUCUAUGUGUUUUUCAGGCCCAUCUGACAGUCUUUAGACUGUUACUCUAAAUUCUUGUUCAGUAUAUUGUUUAUAUCUGUUUUGAGCAACUCUCUGGCUGUGGUUACUUCUUGACCUUUCUUUUGGGGAGAAUUCUUCCAUCUUGUCACUCUGGCUUAGUUUCUUUCUUUUGCAUGUUUUAUUUUUUCUUUUGCAUGUUUUAAAAGCUUGUUAUGUGUCCUACACCUGAGAGUACUACCAUAUUAAAAAGGGGUCAUACACUGUGCAGGGCCUGGUCUUCCAGGAAGUGUUUCUGGUGUAUUCUGUGUGCACUCUGUUGUGUUUUAGCUGCUCUUUCCCAUUGGUCAGUUCUCUGCAGAGCUUCUCCUUGCCUUUAUUGGUGGAGUGUUUGGACUUUUAACUGGGUGUGCUUUGAUUUGUUUGUUGAAGUAACCCUGGAAAAAAGGGAGGGGAGCCUGAUCCCUAAAAAGAGAGAAAGGGAAGAGGAGAAAAUAAAACCAAACUGAGAAUGAAAAAAAGAUAAGGCUAAUUCCAGAGAAACAGAGGAAAAUAAAGAAGAAGGAAGAGAAAAGAUGGAAAAAGAAUAGAAUAAAAAUACCUGAUUUUAUAUAUGUAUAUAUAUAUAUAUAUAAAUAUUUAAUAUACUAUAUUUAAAUAUAUAUUUAAAAUAUAUAUUUAAUAUAUAUAUAGUAAAACCUUGAAAUUUCUUGAAUAUAUAUAUAAAACCUUGAAAUUUCUUGAAUAUAUAUAUAUAAAAUAUAUUUAAAAUAUAUAUAUAUAUAGUAAAACCUUGACAUUUCUUGAAGGCUCAUGGAUUCUCAGAAUGAUGCAGGAGCAGGGGCUUGACUUUGAAAUCCCUGCUUCCAUUAGCACAAAACAAAAGGGUGAGAUGGUCUUUCAUGGGUUUGUGACCAGGCAUUGCAUUCUCUUCUUCUGUAAUGUAGGUCCUCUUUGGCAUCUUUUUCCAAAAAAGCGCUGUCUCAUCACAGUUAAAAACUCUCUUCGAUAGGUAACACUUGGAAACCAUGAGCUUCUGGAACUUGGUAGCAAACACUUCAGCUGCCUCAGAUUCUGAACUCGCAGCCUCUCCAUGCCUCACAACACUAUGGAUGCCACCUCCCCUCUUAAACUUACCAAACCAUCUCCUGCUUGCCUUGAUGACUUCUUCAUUUUCUGUUGAUGUAACUGGCAGUUUACUUAUGAGGGUGGUGUACAAGGUCUUUGCUUUCUCGAAGAUAAAGUUCUCGGUCACAGUCCUUUUACUGCAUCUAGUUCACUUAUUUAUUCUUUUGUCUUUAAUAUUGUGCAAAUGGUUGAUGUAGACUUCUUAUAAAAUCUUGCAAUUUUGGCCACUUGCGUACCUCAUUCAUACUUCUCAAUGAUUUCCUUCUUAACUUCCACCACAAUCAUCACCUUCUUCUUACUGUCUUUGUUUUCAACCUUUUUCUGCAUGAGGGCCAUUGUAUAUGCUCGCACAGAUGUUGACUAUGGUACAGUGUUAAUGAACACUGUGUUAAUGAACGCAGUGAAUAAACUGUAUUUAACAUAACUGGCAAUAAGGCAGCAGAGGAAAGUGUCAAUAUCUGCAGGCAGCCUGACCUAGAAUGAAGCAAAGCCUUCCUAAGCUUACUCUUGUAUGGAAAAGCAAAGACUGUCCAUAGGUGCUUUGAGGUGACAAAAAAUACACUAGUGCCUUCCAACAUUCUCAAAAAUCACUGAUUUCUGCCAAAAUCCAUGACCUGCAACCAAGCAUGCAAGCAUGGGAGACGAUCACCCACAAUCCUGCAGUGAGAGAGAGAGAGAGCCAGAGAGAGAGAGGAUUCAUCGAUUGAUUAUUGACUGGGUUUGGAGUAUUGCUUGUACUUUCUGUUCUGUUUUCUGGAAAGAAGGAACCCUGGUGUUUUUGCUCUUAGGCUAUCUAGAGCUCAUUAAACAUAGAGAGUCAGAUCUAGACACUUAAACAUUAUGAAGACAUCUGUAGCAGACCAGAACACUUCUUUAUUUUUAAAUCAAUGGGUAGGUGUAAAUAAUCGUUGAUCAGUUAAACAUGGUGAAUGAACACCCAUUAUUCUGAUCUUAAACCAGCGGGGCCAAAUUGACACAGUUCAAAACAUUUAACACUAAUGAAAACAUCAGAUUUCUCCUUCCUUAGAUCUACGAGGCAGCAAAACAGAUUGGUUUUUCAGUCAACAAGGUUUUAUAGAUUUCUACAAAGAAAUAGUGAAGAAAAAGCUGAACUCUACAAGUGAAAUGCCAGCUAGUAAAGUAGAGGAAAUGGUACAGUGAGCUGUUUGGUCACCUCCAAGAUUUAACCGAUGUGAACAUUUAGAUAUUGGCUUCAGAUCUCCCUUUUUGAGAAAAGAGGCAAAAUGUUACAUAAAAUCAGACACCAGCUCCUCCUCCCUUGCUGCCCUCUUUCCCCAGAGGUAAUGACUUGCUGUAGGGAGAGGGCUUUAUCCUAUGCCUGAGACUUUUAAUAGCUGUUUGAUUGAUCCUUUUUACACGAUUGUAUUCACCAAUAACAUGUAAUAUAGCUUUUUUAAAAAAAUUACGUAAAUGAGUCAUAAACUAAGUAUUUUUUGUCCUAGGAUUAAAAAAAUCCUGAGUCUUUUUUACAUACAGCAUUGUUGUUCUAUGUAAUCUCCUUCAUUUUAUUUAUUUAUUUAUUUAUUUAUUUAUUUUUUAAUGUUUAUUUUUGAGAGAGAGAGAGAGAGUCGGGAAGGGGCAGAGAGAAAAGGAGACACAGAAUCUGAAGCAGUCUCCAGGCUCUGAGCUGUUAGUCGAGAGCCCAAUGUGGGGCUCAAACUCACAAGCUGCAAGAUCAUGACCUGAGCUGAAGUUGGACACUCAACCGACUGAGCCAAUGAGGUGCUCCUAAUCUCCUUCAUUUUAACUGCUGGGUAGGAUCCCACCUGAGGAAUAAGGCACAGAUCAUUCCCCUACUGAAAGGCAGUAAGUUGAAAUCACUGUUUGCUAGCAGAGCAAGACUUCCAUACCCUGGAACAUGUUUUCUUAUGCACAGGUUGAAGACUUUCCCUGGGGCAUAUACUAAUACCCCAAAGUGGAGGCUGGUUGCUGGCUCUGGGGCAAGAGCAUCUUUAAUGAGAAUGGAUAGUGCCAGAGGACUCCUUGAGUGGUUCUACUAAUUCACAUGUCUGCCCUGAAAAUGAAGAAUUUUAAUUGGCCAGAGCCUCACCCCACUCCACUAUAUAAGUCCCUGGGGACUCUACACUCUUCACUUUGUCUGUAGGAGAACAAGUUCACUGACUACAGACUGUGAGGAAAAGCACAUGCUGCUGUAGAAACAGUAAUUCUGUAACUCUUGAUGGGUUUCAUUCCACAAUAGAAUUUUUGCAGGCUUUUUGGGCAGAUAUGUAUUAGGUAAAUGCGUGGCUUUAAAAAGCCACUUGGGAUCCACUUUCUUGGUAGAAGAUUUGAACUUCUGUCUCUCAUAGAUUAGAGAGCAAGCUAAUCAGGAAGGAUAGAGAAUAUUUGAGCAAUGCAAGAAGCUUGGCAUAUAUGUAAAAUGUGGUCAUACUCAUUUUCAAGCACAAAUGUCAACUUUAUAAAUAUCUGCCACAUACUAGGCCACACAGCAAAUUUCAGUCAAUACCCAGACAUGGAAGACUCUGUAAACACUGUGCUAUGAAAGCAGAAAACUGAAUAAAAGGACAAGCCGAACACCACCAUCUGCAUAGAAACCGUGUGUGUGAUGAAAGAAUCAUGGUUGAAGAAGACACAAUCAUGGCAAUUUCAAAAUAUGCCUGAGUGACAGUAAAAACUUUACAUAGAACCCACAGGAUGCAAGCCAGGUGGACUUGUGGGCACAUUUUAAAUGUUAAGAUGCUUAACAUAGAAAAGAAGAAAAAGAUGGUCAUUGUAGAGCUAAAUUAUCCACCUAUAGGAAUAAGAAAAGGAACAAACUCAAAGGAGAAAGAACAUAAACAUGAACAAGAAACACAGAUAUCUGGAGAUGGUUUUUCCUUUCUUUUUAAGCUUAUUUAUUAAGUUUUGAGAGAGAGAGAGCACAAUCGGGGGAGGGCAGAGAGACAGGGAGACACAUAAUCCAAAGCCGGCUCCAGGUUCUGAGCUGUCAGCACAGAGCCCAACACGGGGCUUAAACUCACUAACAGCAAGAUCAUGACCUGAGCUGAAGUCAGACACUUAACCGACUAGGCCACCUAGGUGCCUUGGAAGUAUUCUUCUCUUAAAACUUUUUAUUUUGUGGAGGAGUUUGUUGAGGAUUAUCUUUAACUUGAAGAUUUGUUAAAUCUCACCCAUAAAGACAUCAGGGCCUGGUACUGUUUUUUUGAUGGAGGGAAAUUAGUGAUUCACAUUUUAAUUUUUUAGUUAUUGCUCUAUUCAUAUUAUGCCUUUGUUCUGAGGUGAGGUUUGGUGAUUUACAUUUAUCUAGAUAAUUGUUCAUUUCAUCUAUAUGUGAAAAUACACUGGCCUAGCUUUUGUGGUAGUCUCUGAUAAACUUUUCUUGUAUAUCCCUGAUAAGUCUUUCAAGAUUUUGUCAGUAUAUCAAUCGAGCCCUUUCUCUCUGUCUCUAGCAUCUGCUAGGUAGUAUGCGAUCACUCCCAGCCUGUCUUCAGUAAGAACCCUGUUAGGUCAGCUUAGCAGGAAUUACUCUAAUUCUUGGUAAUUUUCCAUCCACUGACUGCCCCACCGUGCUCUUGCUUAUAAAUCACCACUCUUCUUGUUGACUUGGAGUUGAGUCCAAUCUGUCUCUCAUACUGCAAACCCACUGUUGCAGUCAGCCUCAAUGAAGUGUGCCUUAUUGUCUGUAAUGAGUGUCAGAAUAGUUUUUCAAUAGCACGUGGAAAGGAGUAAUUACAAUAUGGUUGAUGAGGCAAGACGAAAGUACAUAACGGGCUGUGGGGUUAUGAUGGAAUCAAUUGGGGCUUGUGAAGUUUCAGGAAUUUGAAAAUAUUAAGACAAUUGAAGAGAUAGUGUUUAGGAUGAAUUAAAAGACUGGAGAAAUAACAGGUGUGGGAAACAGAGAAAUUAGCCCACUUUUAUGGGCAGGGCAUGGAAGGACCUCCUAGAACAAGUGUCCAGAAGAGCUUAGCUGUCUGAUAGGCAUUUCAGUAUUUCACGUCCACAAUGAAGCCUUGAGUUUUUUCCUUUCCUUCAUGGUUUUGCCAAAAAUACUACCUCAGUUUCUCAGACCAUAAAAUCGUGCCACUAUCCCCUGUGUGUUGAACAAGGCAAAAGCUUGAAAAGGAGCAGUGCAGGCUUCCAAUCCGGACACACUUUUCAAGUGUGUUUGGGGCGACGCAGUGCUGGAGAUGGAUGCCUUUCCAGCACUUUCUAGCAUGUGGCCUGAGGGUGUGUCCUGGGAGUUCUGAUGGCUGGACUCAGGAAACCCGUCAGUGGGGAUACUUUCAAGGAGAGCAAGGGCUGUAAGAAAGUGUAAAAGUAAUGAUCAUUUACAUAAAAAAUGAGAGUUCCAGCUGACGAAGUACAGUGGGUGUUCCUCAUAAUCUUCAGUGUUGGAGAAAUAGGACAAUUCAUACAUUCUUUCAGUGUUGAAAUGAAGUAGUUGACAGGAAAAUCCAAAUCUUUAAACUUAAUUUCAGAUGAGACCAGCUGAGCGUCAUCGUCACAAAGAAGGCAGCUGACAGUCCACUUCCAAUGUGACUCUUUUCUCCAGAUGAUACUUCCGUGUGACCCAAGCCAGUGAGGUCCCCAGAACCCCAGACUGAAUUCCAUAUUAUGUGACAGAACGUCUUACACUUGGACUCAGAGACUCAGGUGGGUACCUGCAGGUCCACGUGUUAGAAAUCUGACCCCAAUGAGUUUGCUGGUCACUAGAGAUACCUGAGGGUGUUCCUAGACCCAGCACUGCCCCGUUCCCCUUCCCUUUCUGUCAGUGCACGACCUGCACUGUGACACCGAGGGCUCCUAAGGCAUGGUUGGUCACAGGGCUCUGAGGAUGAACAUCCACAGAUGCCGUGAGACAGAAGCUGCGUGCUGGCAGGUGCAUACUCCCGGACUCUCCCAGAUCACCUGGGACAUAUGUCAGUGGUUUGCGUUCUUGUACAUGGUCCCCUGGUGUCUGAGGGGAGAAGGGAGGAUGAGGCUUUCCAAUAAUGGGGUAUUUGCUCCUGCCAGUAACCUGGUGGUGGUGGAUUUUGAGUUGUGUUUUUCCUUCUUCUCUAGUAUAUUCAAGCUGCAUGAGGAAUCGAAACAAAAGAUACUCAGGAGAAGAUGUAGUCUGGAUUAUUAUGUUAUUCUACUUGGGCCUGUAAAGCACAGACAUGCAAGUGAUCCCAACUGAACACAGAAAACAGAGAAGACGGAAGGAUGCAAAUGGUUAAUAGUGACCCGAGCGGUGACUCUCCGACUCCUUAGCUGCAACGUACAGGACAGCACUGGCAGGGCACCAGCAGGGCGUCCAGGAAACAGCGUCCCAGGCUGUGGCUCAGGAAGGGGCUGCUCCAGGUGGGACCCCGCUCCACUCCGUGUGCUCUGUGUGCUGUCCCACCGCCCACCCAAAUCCAUCCUAACCGAGUCUGAAGACCUCCCAGCCCAGGCCAAAGCCGUGAGGAUCGCGUCCUGCUGGCCUCUCAACGAAGCUGGGACCCAGCGGAACCAGUGCCCGCAGGCCCUCUCGUCCGUCUGAUCUGCACGCAUAAUUCAAUCGUUCACUUCCGGUCUUCGCACAGGCUCAGCCUGCACGCGACUCCUCCUGAUACAGGCCUUGCCCUCCACUGGCUGCUGAAGCAAGGAUCCUGAGAGUCACUAUUGAAUCUUUCAGCUCCUCCCUGCCCCAUGUGGAAACCGUCACCAAAGCCUCCAUAGGUCCCCCACCUGCCCCGAUAUUUCUCAUAUUUCUCUAUCACCUGCUUGUGCCCUACAACCACGUGUCCACACUGUCCUUUCCUGUGUGGACCUGGCUGGAUCUAACCGGGCUUCCGAGGGGAUUAGGUUUCUAUGGUUGCUGUAACAAAUUACCACACGCUUAAUGGCUUGAAAACAAGACAACUUGUUAAUCCUGGGGUGCCUGGGUGUCUCAGUCAGUCGAGCGUCCAACUUUGGCUCAGGGCAUGAUCUCGCGAUUCAUGGGUUCGACCCCGCAUUGGCUCUGUGCUGACAGCUCAGAGUCUGGAGCCUGCUUUAGAUUCUGGGUCUCCCUCCCUCUCUGCCCUUCCCUUGCUCAUUCUCUCUCUCUCUCUCUCUCUCUCUCUGUCAAAAAUAACAAUUAAAAUAUUAAAAAGGAAAAUGCUUAAAGAAAAACAAUUUGUUAAUCUUAGAGUCUUAGGUUACAGUCAGAUUAGAAGCCUGACACAAAUAUCUCCCCCAAUAUAAUCUCGCUAUUUAAGGUCUAGCCUAUUAACAGCUUUAAUUCCCUGUUGCUAUGCCCAGUCCCAUGUUCACAGGCUUAGGAGCAGGGUGUGAAUAUCUUUGGGGGUCACACUAUUGCCUACCACACUCAGUUUCCACCAUCUCCUCUCUCUGAGGCCUUCUCCACCCGGCAAGCACAGCCAUACCCCCA
rnacentral:lncRNA from 1 species